rnacentral:rRNA from 1 species
GACGAACGCUGGCGGCGUGCCUAAUACAUGCAAGUAGAACGCUGAAGGAGGAGCUUGCUUCUCCGGAUGAGUUGCGAACGGGUGAGUAACGCGUAGGUAACCUGCCUGGUAGCGGGGGAUAACUAUUGGAAACGAUAGCUAAUACCGCAUAACAGUAGAUAUUGCAUGAUAUCUGCUUGAAAGGUGCAAUUGCAUCACUACCAGAUGGACCUGCGUUGUAUUAGCUAGUUGGUGAGGUAACGGCUCACCAAGGCGACGAUACAUAGCCGACCUGAGAGGGUGAGCGGCCACACUGGGACUGAGACACGGCCCAGACUCCUACGGGAGGCAGCAGGAGGGAAUCUGCGGGAAUGGACGGAAGUCUGAGCGAGCAACGCCGCGGGAGGGAAGAAGGGUGUCGGAUCGUAAAGCUCGGUUGUAAGAGAAGAAAGAGUGUGAGAGUGGAAAGUUCACACUGUGACGGUAUCUGACCAGAAAGGGACGGCUAACUACGUG